AAGAAAAGCAUUCUGUCUCAGGGGUCAGUGGACCCUGAGUUUAUGCUGAAGGGACUCUUGGCAGCCCGGAUCAGAGUGGACUUCCAGUUUUAU